UACGUAGGGUGCGAGCGUUGUCCGGAAUUAUUGGGCGUAAAGAGCUCGUAGGCGGCUUGUCGCGUCGGAUGUGAAAGCCCGGGGCUUAACUCCGGGUCUGCAUUCGAUACGGGCAGGCUAGAGUUCGGUAGGGGAGACUGGAAUUCCUGGUGUAGCGGUGGAAUGCGCAGAUAUCAGGAGGAACACCGGUGGCGAAGGCGGUUCUCUGGGCCUUACCUGACGCUGAGGAGCGAAAGCGUGGGGAGCGAACAGG
rnacentral:rRNA from 1 species